UGCAUGAAGCAGGAAUCGCUCGUAAUCGCCGGUCAGCCAUACGGCGGUGAAUCCGUUCCCGGGCCUUGUACACACCGCCCGUCACACUAUAGGAGCUGGCCAUGUUUGAAGUCAUUACCCUUAACCGUAAGGAGGGGGAUGCCUAAGGCUAGGCUUGCGACUGGAGUGAAGCCGUAACAAGGUAGCCGUACUGGAAGGUGCGGCUGG
rfam:Hordeum vulgare subsp. vulgare, WGS project CAJW01000000 data, contig: morex_contig_1527549